UUUUUUUCAGGGACAGAAGCAUUAUAGACAUGAUAACAACUAAGUGGAGCUUGUCUUUGGAGCAGUCAGAAAGCUUGAGGGACAAGCUUCUUUGUGGGCUUCCUGCCCACGGAAUUUGAAGUUUGUAGAAUGUUCCACGUAUGCUCUAGAGACAUCUGGAAGCUCAUGUACCACAUUGUGGAAGAUACAGAGCUGUGCAUACCUGGCAGCUGCCCUGCUUACAGCCCCCUGCUGGGUCCCUGCAUGUGCUGUCUGCCUGCUCCCUAUGGUUGACAGGCCCCACCCUCUGUGACCUAGGCUUGGCCAGUCAGCCUUUUCCCUUGACCUCAUAAAGAUAUGCUUCCAGAACACUGGGGCCAUGGUUUCAGACUUGUGGACAGAGUAAAAGGAGCAAAAUCAAGCCAACAUCCAGAUAGAAGCAGAUGGAAGGCCGCAAAAGAGAGUCUAGGCUGUGCUGAGGGCCUAGCCUGGGGUGUUUCCAACCAAACUCCUGCCCUUUUGGGAUAUGGGAGCCAACAAAUCCAUUCUUUUCAUUAAGUUCAUCCAAUUGAAAAAGCCAUGACUGGUUCACAUUGACCGUAUUGUCUGAUCAACAAGCACCCGACUUGAGGAUGCCACAGGGAUUUACCAAGGAGGGCCACCAUCAGGGUCUGAGGUCAUAGCAAAUGCACGUGGUGCUGAGUGGGUUCUCAAGGAUUGUUGAAGACGACUGCUGAUCAUUUGAUAAGUGCCAAUCUCCAUGCAUCAUGUUUGGUUUUUCCUUUAUUUCUUGAAGACAAAUUUUAUUUGGCAA